UAGUGCUUUUCACAUCUCAGACUAAGUGC
rnacentral:piRNA from 1 species